rnacentral:rRNA from 1 species
ACGGGGCUUCGGCUCCGGCGCAAAGAGAGGCCCAAGUGAGAUUAGCUAGUUGGUAAGGUAACGGCUUACCAAGGCGACGAUCUCUAGCUGUUCUGAGAGGAAGAUCAGCCACACUGGGACUGAGACACGGCCCAGACUCCUACGGGAGGCAGCAGUGGGGAAUAUUGCACAAUGGGGGAAACCCUGAUGCAGCCAUGCCGCGUGUGUGAAGAAGGCCUUCGGGUUGUAAAGCACUUUCAGUUGUGAGGAAAAGUUAGUAGUUAAUACCUGCUAGCCGUGACGUUAACAACAGAAGAAGCACCGGCUAACUCCGUGCCAGCAGCCGCGGUAAUACGGAGGGUGCGAGCGUUAAUCGGAAUUACUGGGCGUAAAGCGCACGCAGGCGGUUUGUUAAGCUAGAUGUGAAAGCCCCGGGCUCAACCUGGGAUGGUCAUUUAGAACUGGCAGACUAGAGUCUUGGAGAGGGGAGUGGAAUUCCAGGUGUAGCGGUGAAAUGCGUAGAUAUCUGGAGGAACAUCAGUGGCGAAGGCGACUCCCUGGCCAAAGACUGACGCUCAUGUGCGAAAGUGUGGGUAGCGAACAGGAUUAGAUACCCUGGUAGUCCACACCGUAAACGCUGUCUACUAGCUGUGUGUGCCUUUAAGGCGUGCGUAGCGAAGCUAACGCGCUAAGUAGACCGCCUGGGGAGUACGGCCGCAAGGUUAAAACUCAAA